ACUAUCCAAUUUUCUUAUCUGACGGUGUAAGGAAGUGGAAUAAGAUGGCUUUCCUGGUAAAGGCAUUUACCACUAACCUGAUGACCUGAGAUUGAUCUCUGGACCCGACACUUUAGAGGGAGAGGAAUGAAUGCUGCAAGUUGUCCUCUGACCUCUACAUUCUCAUGGUUGCAUUUGUGUACCUACCUCCACAAAACACAAUAAACACAUAAGAUGUUUAAGAUGGAGAUCAUACUUCUGUGUUAUAAAGCAGAAUUCCUAAAACACUGCUUGGUAUAUGACAAUCUCUGAUCCUUGGCAAUACCUCUCCUUUAGGAAUAUCUUCUGCUAUAUCUCCACACAGGAAAGGCAAAAGAAUGUGAUGAAGAUGUGAAAAAAUAAAUCAAAUCUGUCUCUGUGACUCGGCUGCUCUCUAAUUCUCAACAUGAUCCAGUUGUGGGAGAAACUGCACCAUAUCUAGGAUGCUGAUUCAAAGCAUACACUCCCUUGUGAAGAAACUUGCCCCAGAUUUCCAUGCUGUUUCCAUCUAAUUGGAGUACAAAGAAGCUGUGUUCCAGAGAUGUUCAAGGUUGUAUCUCCUGCUGCAGCUGGACUUGUAAUGUGUAAGAAUCACCAAGGAUCUGGCAAUGGAAGUGAACAAGGAUGGAAAGACUCAGAAAUCUGACGAUUGCUUUGGCUUUGACACCAGACAUGGAGAUGCAGAUUUUGGAGUUUGCUCAGGUUAAUUUUCAUCUUGUUUAAUCCAGUGUUUUCUU
rnacentral:lncRNA from 1 species